CUUGGUUACCUACCUCUGACCAAGCUGUGGGUUUUAGGCCUGGCUUUCAUGACCAAGAAGCAGGCAGAGCCAGCCAAGAGCCACUGGCAGAGGAUCCAGGUGUAGGAGAUGAGAGGCUGUGGAUUCCUUCAGGGUUAACAUGGAUCAGGUUUGAUCUGGCUAGACCUCCUGAAAUUUGACAGCUUUCUGAAGAGCCAGCUGCAAGAUGAAGAAGAGGCGAACACCGAUCUGGCUUCCUCUGGCCGAAUGGGGUCAUUAGGCACAGCAGUCCGGGCUCCCCUCCAGAUCCUGAAGGACUCGGCUAAGGAUGCCCUGGAGUUAAGAGCUUAGAGGCGGGUGGCCAUCCUGCCCUUUUCCCUAGUCUGUCCACAGAAGAGGAACUGGAACGUAAAAACUCGGGUGCCCAGGGCUCCGUGGGGCACAAACAGAAGCAGACAAGCAUGGAGUGAAGGAGUCUGGAGAAGGGAAAGGAUGCUCUGUGUCAGUUGGAGGAAAGCAGACUUAGAAACGACAGCAGGAAGAGCAGGCAUGAAGACCCAGCACAGCCCGUGUCU